ncrna:unclassified sequences gut-2 RNA
AGCCAAUGCUCAAUCGGGAGUAUUGAAGAACCAAUUGGGGUUAUGCGG